AGCACCCUGGAAAAACAAGUGCCCUCACACGGUGUGCGUCUCUGCAGAGCCAUCUCCCCGCUGGAGGACUGUGUGACUGGUCCCACGAGGGGCUGCUGUCGUCUCUGCGUUUUGCUCUCCGUCCCUUUCCUACAAUGUGAUUCUGCCUACACUGACGCUCCCUCCUCCUGACCGGCCCUGCAGGAAGAGUCCGGGACCUGACCCUCCCUUGGGAGCCCAGCGACCUGCCUGAAGUUCUCCCUGGCGUCCUUGACUUUCAUUCUUGAUCCCAGCGUGGCCACCAGGAAUGCAGCCAACGGGUUUUAGGAGCUCUGUGCCAGAAGUGGGACGAAGACCAAACGUGUAUCUCUUAUUAUCAAUCACAACGUCACACGUGGCGAUGCCAGCCUCUGCUCCCACCCUCAGAAAAGGAGUGCCUUCCCAC